rnacentral:ncRNA from 1 species
UUGAACUUAAAUGCUUAGGUUUAAUACUAAAGGUAUGGUAGCGUAAAUAUAUAGAUACUAUUAAAAUAGUUUUACUCUUAAAUAUUAAUUUCAGCUAAUUUAGAAAAUUAUUACACUUGUUUAGGUAGUUAUGGUCCUCCAUGAUUGAAUAUCCCAAUAGAGUGCCAGCAGGCGUGGUUAGACUGAAUAUUUACUUUAGUUCAUUUCUUUUUAUAGUCUAACUUUUAUAUAGUGCAUAACUGGUAAAAUAGGUAGUGCAUUAAAUCUUGUUAGCUGUUUUUAGUCACCUUAAAGACAAGGAUUAGAUACCCUUUUAUGUGUGAUGAAAGUCUUAAAGAUAAUUUAGUUUAAAAAUUCAAAUAAUUUGGCGGUAAGGAAAGAACUCAGAGAAACCUGAGUAUUAAUUGGAUGAUCCACCAUUAUAAUUUCUUAGUAUGUUUGUUACCUGUAUGUCUGUUUAGGUUAUCGUUAGAUCUUUAGCCUUCUAAUUUAAUUAAAUUCAAAUUCAGGUCAAUAUAGGGAUUGUUACUAAGUUUUCUUGGGUUGCAAUUAAGAUCAUUGGUGAUUUAGUUAAUUUAAAUCUAAUUUGGAUUUGAAAGUAAACGCUUAUGUAGAUGUGUUGAAUUGGUCUUUUCUUAAGUACAAAUCGCCCGUCACCUCUGUCACAAAAAAGACUGAGUAAGUCGAAACAAAGUAGGUUGGCUGGAAGGGUAACCUGUAUGGUU